rnacentral:tRNA from 1 species
GGGUCGGUGCCCGAGGGGUUAAUGGGGACGGAUUGUAAAUCCGUUGGCUAUGCCUACGCUGGUUCAAAUCCAGCUCGGCCCA